rnacentral:rRNA from 1 species
GACGAACGCUGGCGGCGUGCUUAACACAUGCAAGUCGAACGGUAAGGCCCUUCGGGGUACACGAGUGGCGAACGGGUGAGUAACACGUGGGUGAUCUACCCUGCACUUCGGGAUAAGCCUGGGAAACUGGGUCUAAUACCGGAUAGGACCACUGCCUGCAUGGGCGGUGGAGGAAAGCUUUUGCGGUGUGGGAUGGGCCCGCGGGCUAUCAGCUUGUUGGUGGGGUGAUGGCCUACCAAGGCGACGACGGGUAGCCGGCCUGAGAGGGGGACCGGCCACACUGGGACUGAGAUACGGCCCAGACUCCUACGGGAGGCAGCAGUGGGGAAUAUUGCACAAUGGGCGCAAGCCUGAUGCAGCGACGCCGCGUGAGGGAUGACGGCCUUCGGGUUGUAAACCUCUUUCAGCACCGACGAAGCGCAAGUGACGGUAGAUGCAGAAGAAGGACCGGCCAACUACGUGCCAGCCGCCGCCGUAA